UUUGGUUGUUUGGCUAUGGAGUUAUAGGAACUCCAAAGUUAAACGUACUUGGUUUAGAGAAGUUCUAGGAUGGGUGACCUCCUAGGAAGUUCUCGAACCCGCCAAAA
rnacentral:rRNA from 1 species